rnacentral:sRNA from 1 species
AUGGCUGCUUAUUGUCAGAAAUAUUUUUAUCAACAUUUGACAGAAGACAGCAUCAAACGUAACAUUUUAGAUGCUGCCCCUGUGCCUGCGAAUGCUUUCUGUACACCUCCCAAAGUUGAUGAUUUUGUGGAGGAUUUCAUAGAUUUUAAUGCUAUGAAAUUUUUGAAAAUGCAGGAUAAAAGCCUGACAUUUAUUCAAAAGAAAAUUGCUCAGAUUAUGGGGCCGUUGGCAAAAAUCUGGCAGGCUGUAGAUGGGGCACGGAAGGGUCAGGAAGAGAAUUCAGAGUUCACAGUUCUCGACAUGCUGAAACUGGUAGAACAAACAGUUGUUUUAGUUGGUCAAGCUAAUGCCACUUGUUUGUACGAGCGGCGUGUUAAUUUCCUGGCGAAAAUAAUGAAAGGUGUUAAGAAAGCGAAAGAACAUCUUAAGACUAAUGAGCAUGAUUUGAGUAGAGAGAAGGAUGUGCUCUAUGGUGAGACAGUAUUUAAGGCUCUUGACAGAAAGAGCAAAAGCAGAAAAAGAGCCAGAGAGAUCUCUAAAGAAAUGCAAUCAAAAAAGAGGCGCAUAGACCAGACAUCCCAACCGCCCUUUCGUGCAGGGCCCUCACGUGGGUAUGGAAAUCGUGGGGGCAGACAGUCUACAUGGAUGUCGAAACAAGGUAGUCAGAGUAACAGAAAACCUGUGCAGUCUAACUACAAGAUUCCAAAGAAACCAAGAUCAGGAGAAAACAGGUAUGAAAAUUACCAAUGGAAUUCCUCUUGUUAUGGAACAAAUAACAAAAAUAUCAAGUCUGAACAACCUACAUGCCUCAGUGACACAUCUCAGGUUCAAAGAAAUUUGUCAAGACAAAAUACCCCUAGGGGGGAGAUUAGAAGCAUUUCGAGAAAACUGGGAAAUGAUAACAAAAGAUCAAAACUUAUUGGAGAGUAUUUCAGGUUACAAAAUAGAAUUCAGUUCAGAACCAAUUCAGAGAUUUCAACCAAAACAAAUAAAAUUAUCAGAACAAGAAAUGCAAACUCUAAAUUCAGAAAUAGAGGAGAUGUUGGUCAAACAGGCAGUGGAGGUUGGUUAAUAAACUGGAAAAAAUCAGUUCUAACCCCAUGUCAGCAACUAGAAUUUCUGGGUCUAACAAUAAAUUCAGUGGAAAUGGAGAUAACUCUAUCAGCAACCAAAGUAGAGAGUAUCAAAAGAAAAUGUACAGACAUGAUCAGCAAAACAGAAGUGUCAAUACAAGAGUUAUCAAGUUUAAUAGGAACACUGAAUGCUACAGUAGAAGCUGUCAUCCCAGCCUCACUGUAUGUGAGGGAGCUUCAAAUGUUUCAAACAAAAUGCCUGCUAAAAUCAAAAAGAAAUUAUCAACAAAUGAUAAUACCCCCACAAACUUCCAGAGGGGAGAUAAACUGGUGGCUACAGCAGCUGGAACAUUGGAAUGGGAAACAAAUUCGACUGUCCUCAAACCCGGACUUGGUAAUAGAAACAGAUGCCUCGAAAACAGGGUGGGGGGCAGUAUGUCUCACUCAGAACUUAAGAAUGGGGGGGGGGGCCUUGGAACCCCUCAGAGAAAAAAUUGCAUAUCAAUGUACUGGAACUGAAAGCAGUACAGUUUGCAAUUCAAUCACUGACCAAACACAAACAGAACAUUCAUGUUCACAUCAAAUCAGACAACACAACAGUUGUUGCAUAUCUGAACAAAAUGGGGGGGACCAGAUCAGAACUGUUAUUACAAACAACAAAGCAGAUUUGGACUCACUGUCUAUCCAAAAAGAUCAUGAUUACUGCAGAACAUAUACCCGGAAUACAGAAUGUUCAAGCAGACUUGGAGAGUCGUCAGAUGAGGGAUACCAGCAACUGGAUGCUGAACAAGGGAAUAUUCAAACAAAUAAAUCAGAUGUGGGGGCCAUUAAAAAUAGAACUCUUUGCAGACAGGUUGAACACACAACUGGAAAAUUACAUGAGUUGGCGUCCAGACCCAUAUGCAAUGGGAAUGGAUGCAUUCCAGAUACCCUGGAACAACAAAAGAGGGUAUGCUAUCCCUCCAUUUUGCCUAAUAACAAGAUGUUUGUCCAAAGAUCUGAAAGAAAAGUCAGAAAUUGUCAUAAUAACUCCAGCAUGGCAGACUCAACCAUACUAUCCACUACUUCUGACCUUGUCAAUAGACAACCCAAUUCUUUUACCUCCCAUGAAAAACCUGCUACUGUCACCAGAGGGAGUAGUGCAUCCACUAGUCAGCAAUCAAACCUUAAAGCUAGUGGCUUGGAAGGUUUCAGGAGACAAAAACAAGCAGCAGGAGUUUCGGAACAAAUUUCCGAACUCUUGGCUGCAGGUUGGAGACAAGGAACCCAGACAGCUUACAACAGCUGCUGGAGACAGUGGGAUAGCUGGUGUCAAUCAAAACAAAUUGAUCCAUUUCAAACCUCUGUGGAAUAUGUAGCUGAUUUUUUGGCAGAGUUAUAUGCAAAAGGCUAUGAGUAUAGGACAAUAAACAGCUACAGGUCUGCAAUAUCUGCAUUCCAUGCGGGAAUUGAAGGCAACAAAAUUGGUAAACAUGACUUCAUUUGUCAACUUAUGACAGGAAUUUUCAACAAAAACCCACCAAGGCCAAGAUACAUGCAAAUGUGGGAUGUAAAUAAAGUGCUCUCAUAUAUCAUAGGCAUGGAAAAUAACAAAGAUUUGUCACUGAAGGAAAUUUCAAUGAAGCUGUGUAUGUUAAUGGCUCUUGCCUCAGCAAGCAGGUCAUCUGAAAUUCACAAAUUUGAUAUUGAGAACAUGAAUAUCACUGAAGAUGAAAUUAUAUUUACUUUGAAAAGUUUAACAAAGUCAAGGAGAGUGGGACAAAGCCCAAUUUCAGUCAAGUUCACAAAAUAUGAAGAACACCCAAAAUUAGAUAUAAUUUCUUGUACAAUGGAAUAUUUGGAGAAAACCAAAAUAAUAAGGGCAGAAGAAAGACAGUUGUUUGUAAGUUUCAUAAAACCACAUAAAGCAGUUAAAUCCUGUACAAUAGCAAGUUGGCUGAAAUAUCUGUUAGCACUGUCUGGAAUAGAUGUCUCAGUUUUCAAACCCCACUCAACAAGAGGUGCAAGUACUUCCAAAGCUAACAAGUAUGGUUUAUCAAUUGAACAGAUUAUCAACAAAGGAAAUUGGAAGUCUUGUAAAACUUUUAAAAAGUUCUACAAUCGUCCAAUUGUUGAUGAUGAUAACAAAUUUCAGGAAAUUGUUUUGAAACUAUAA